rnacentral:rRNA from 1 species
AUUGAACGCUGGCGGCAUGCUUUACACAUGCAAGUCGAACGGUAACAGGUUAAGCUGACGAGUGGCGAACGGGUGAGUAAUGCAUCGGAACGUGCCCGAUCGUGGGGGAUAACGCAGCGAAAGCUGCGCUAAUACCGCAUACGAUCUGAGGAUGAAAGCGGGGGACCGUAAGGCCUCGCGCGAUCGGAGCGGCCGAUGUCAGAUUAGGUAGUUGGUGGGGUAAAGGCCCACCAAGCCGACGAUCUGUAGCUGGUCUGAGAGGACGACCAGCCACACUGGGACUGAGACACGGCCCAGACUCCUACGGGAGGCAGCAGUGGGGAAUUUUGGACAAUGGGCGAAAGCCUGAUCCAGCAAUGCCGCGUGCAGGAAGAAGGCCUUCGGGUUGUAAACUGCUUUUGUACGGAGCGAAAAGGUCCUUUCUAAUACAAGGGGCUCAUGACGGUACCGUAAGGAUAAGCACCGGCUAACUACGAGCCAGCAGCCGCGGUAAAAC